rnacentral:rRNA from 1 species
UGGCUCAGGAUGAACGCUAGCUACAGGCUUAACACAUGCAAGUCGAGGGGCAUCAGGAAGAAAGCUUGCUUUCUUUGCUGGCGACCGGCGCACGGGUGAGUAACACGUAUCCAACCUGCCCUUUACUCGGGGAUAGCCUUUCGAAAGAAAGAUUAAUACCCGAUGGCAUAAUGAUUCCGCAUGGUUUCAUUAUUAAAGGAUUCCGGUAAAGGAUGGGGAUGCGUUCCAUUAGGUUGUUGGUGAGGUAACGGCUCACCAAGCCUUCGAUGGAUAGGGGUUCUGAGAGGAAGGUCCCCCACAUUGGAACUGAGACACGGUCCAAACUCCUACGGGAGGCAGCAGUGAGGAAUAUUGGUCAAUGGGCGCUAGCCUGAACCAGCCAAGUAGCGUGAAGGAUGAAGGCUCUAUGGGUCGUAAACUUCUUUUAUAUAAGAAUAAAGUGCAGUAUGUAUACUGUUUUGUAUGUAUUAUAUGAAUAAGGAUCGGCUAACUCCGUGCCAGCAGCCGCGGUAAUACGGAGGAUCCGAGCGUUAUCCGGAUUUAUUGGGUUUAAAGGGAGCGUAGGUGGACUGGUAAGUCAGUUGUGAAAGUUUGCGGCUCAACCGUAAAAUUGCAGUUGAUACUGUCAGUCUUGAGUACAGUAGAGGUGGGCGGAAUUCGUGGUGUAGCGGUGAAAUGCUUAGAUAUCACGAAGAACUCCGAUUGCGAAGGCAGCUCACUGGACUGCAACUGACACUGAUGCUCGAAAGUGUGGGUAUCAAACAGGAUUAGAUACCCUGGUAGUCCACACAGUAAACGAUGAAUACUCGCUGUUUGCGAUAUACAGUAAGCGGCCAAGCGAAAGCAUUAAGUAUUCCACCUGGGGAGUACGCCGGCAACGGUGAAACUCAAAGGAAUUGACGGGGGCCCGCACAAGCGGAGGAACAUGUGGUUUAAUUCGAUGAUACGCGAGGAACCUUACCCGGGCUUAAAUUGCAGUGGAAUGAUGUGGAAACAUGUCAGUGAGCAAUCACCGCUGUGAAGGUGCUGCAUGGUUGUCGUCAGCUCGUGCCGUGAGGUGUCGGCUUAAGUGCCAUAACGAGCGCAACCCUUAUCUUUAGUUACUAACAGGUCAUGCUGAGGACUCUAGAGAGACUGCCGUCGUAAGAUGUGAGGAAGGUGGGGAUGACGUCAAAUCAGCACGGCCCUUACGUCCGGGGCUACACACGUGUUACAAUGGGGGGUACAGAAGGCAGCUAGCGGGUGACCGUAUGCUAAUCCCAAAAUCCUCUCUCAGUUCGGAUCGAAGUCUGCAACCCGACUUCGUGAAGCUGGAUUCGCUAGUAAUCGCGCAUCAGCCACGGCGCGGUGAAUACGUUCCCGGGCCUUGUACACACCGCCCGUCAAGCCAUGGGAGCCGGGGGUACCUGAAGUACGUAACCGCAAGGAUCGUCCUAGGGUAAAACUGGU